rnacentral:rRNA from 1 species
GCGGCUGAGGAUGAGCCUGCGUUGGAUUAGCUAGUUGGUGGGGUAAAGGCCCACCAAGGCGACGAUCCAUAGCGGGUCUGAGAGGAUGAUCCGCCACACUGGCACUGAGACACGGGCCAG